UACGGAGGGUGCAAGCGUUAUCCGGAUUCACUGGGUUUAAAGGGUGCGUAGGUGGGUUGGUAAGUCAGUGGUGAAAUCUCCGAGCUUAACUUGGAAACUGCCAUUGAUACUAUCAGUCUUGAAUAUUGUGGAGGUCAGCGGAAUAUGUCAUGUAGCGGUGAAAUGCUUAGAUAUGACAUAGAACACCAAAUUGCGAAGGCAGCUGGCUACGCAAUAUAUUGACACUGAGGCACGAAAGCGUGGGGGGAUCAAACAGGA
rnacentral:rRNA from 1 species